rnacentral:rRNA from 1 species
AUUGGACGCUGGCGGCAUGCCUUACACAUGCAAGUCGAACGGCAGCAUGAUCUAGCUUGCUAGAUUGAUGGCGAGUGGCGAACGGGUGAGUAAUACAUCGGAACGUGCCCUGUAGUGGGGGAUAACUAGUCGAAAGAUUAGCUAAUACCGCAUACGACCUGAGGGUGAAAGUGGGGGACCGCAAGGCCUCAUGCUAUAGGAGCGGCCGAUGUCUGAUUAGCUAGUUGGUGGGGUAAAGGCCCACCAAGGCGACGAUCAGUAGCUGGUCUGAGAGGACGAUCAGCCACACUGGGACUGAGACACGGCCCAGACUCCUACGGGAGGCAGCAGUGGGGAAUUUUGGACAAUGGGGGCAACCCUGAUCCAGCAAUGCCGCGUGUGUGAAGAAGGCCUUCGGGUUGUAAAGCACUUUUGUCCGGAAAGAAAUCGCACUUACUAAUAUUAGGUGUGGAUGACGGUACCGGAAGAAUAAGGACCGGCUAACUACGUG